AAAGAUUUAGUUAAAUAAUAACAUUAAUUUGUCAAAUUAAAAUUACCCAAUAGUAAUCUUUU
rnacentral:tRNA from 1 species